CCCUUGUAACCAAUUUCAGUUACUUCCUCCUUCCAACUGCUUCUCCAUUCUUCUUGACUCUUCUAGAAUAGAUGGGAGGACUAACAUUACCCUCGGUUUCCAAACUCACCUUGUCCUCAAGGUGAACAUCUGGAAAAUGUCGGGUGCUAGAUGUGGCCGAUUCCCUCAAAACUUGAAUUACAUGCAGCCCUUUUCCAUUUCCACCCAGCUGCUCAGGUUCGUUCCCCACCCCUAACCAUUGGCCUUAGUGCUGUGAAGCCUUCAUCAUGGUUUUCAAUGAGACUCCCACUUUUUUAAGCCCGGAAUCUCCUUUCAAACUUACUAUUGAUUCUCCCAUUCGAAACUUCAUAGUGAGGAGUCUACAGUUGACUUCCAUAUUGCUCAAGCUACCUAACCGUUGCAUCCUUAAGACGAUAUCCGUGCAGCCCAACUUUAACAAAAGGAAGUCUUCUACUAUUGUUAGUGAUGCAGACAUCAGUUUCAUUUGAUCGUUUUAUCUUCCAUUUAUAUUUUAGGCCUUAUGUUUUAUUGGGCUUGUGUAUGGAUUCAGCCAAAGCUCUCAAAUUUGGUUUAUUAUUUUGUUAUUUAUAUGGUUGUAAUGGGAUUGAAAAUCAGUUGAUGAAUUGAUGAAGAUGAAUGAAAUGUUUGGUUAAGUUUUCUCCUCCCCGACCUAUCCUCUUAUUCUGUUCUUCUUCGGUCUUCUCCCCACAUUAUCUCCGGUUCUCCCCCUUUCUUGGUGCCUAUUUCUUCUUAAUCAUCAGCUUAUUUUCUGCUGGUUAUUGUUCAACUGCUGAAAUCCAAUUGAUCCUACAUCAAAUUUGGUAUCAGAGCUAAAGCUUGGGAACUACUUUAUCUACACUGGCAAUUUCUAUAUAUACACCAAUCUGUCGCAACUUCCACCAUUCAUGCCUCAGUGUCCAACAACUAAUCUGACUCACAAAUAGCUUCCUCACCAUCUUUUCCACCUCCACCAAGUUCUCUAAAUCUGUAACCAAUCUAGGAAGCCUCCUAAAAUACAGACCAAGCAGCAACCUCUGCUGCAAAUCCGUCCUUGCACACCACACGAGAAAAACCAGACACACCCAAAUACAUGCAUAGUAUCCCAAUCAAACAAGGUAACCAUUAACCCACCACAUACAAAAGUAACCCACCUCAUCCCAUACGAUUAACCCACCAUAUACAAAGUAACCACCACACAUAAAUUCGUUUCCCAAUAAGUAAAACCGCCCCAGCCUCCCACUAACAUAACAUAAUCAAUAUCACUAUCUGCACGACUCAAAUACAAAUAGGCCAAAAUUGGUUCAAUUAACACCCCAGCCCAACCCAAUAGACACAGCCCGUUACCUGGCCCAAUUUACAGAAUCAUCCCCUCCACUCUAAUCUCGCAAAUUGUACUCCAGAACCUGCUACAACUACCGUCGGCAACCCUCAACGUGCCGACAUCCCACACAAUCAACCCAACUCCAUUACAUAUUUCACAAAAUCUGCAACCAACCAACACAUAACUCAUUUCGUUGGCAGCAAACCAACACUCGUCAAAACCCUGAUCGGCAGUCACUCCUCACAGCGUCAGCUCCCAGAAUCACCGUCGUCAACCGCUGUUGGCCCUUGACCCAUUCUCUGCCACAAGCUAUCACUACAGACCGUAAUUAUACAAUCGCGUAUUCCAAUUUCCUCAUUACUACCGCUCCAAAUCGAGGCCCAUAAAUUAUUCCUUUCCUUUAAACCCAUCUUUGUUAUAGCCUACAUCACCCCAAGCUCGUUAUUUCUAAUUUGGGCCUCAUUUAUGCCCGUGUCGUUUAAAGGUUUGUUUUGAUUU
rnacentral:lncRNA from 1 species